AGAAAAAGGGAAUGACCGUAUCUUUUUCUGUCAUAAAGCAAAGCAAAGAAAGAAAGAAAAGAAAAGAAAAGAAAAAAGAAAAUCACUAAUAACCUAUGUUACAUGGACUCUUCAUUUUUUCAAAAGUACCCAUGUCGAUACGACAUAACGUGGGUACAGGUAUAGGAUAUGGAUCCAAUCAUUUUGUUUUGAAAUGGACACUUCUUAGCUCUUUUAUUUUUUAUUUUUCAAAUUUGGAGUAAAAUCAUUGCCAGAAUAUCAUAUUAUAGUAAAAUUAUAUAUUUUGCAUUGCCAAAUAAAUGCAAUUAUGGUAAAAUCAUUGUUUAUAAUAUGAUAUAUCAUGGUAAAUUUUACUUUUACAUACAUAAUUUCUUCUGCCCCAAUUAGAGGACAUCCCCGUAUUCCUUUUUUGCCUAGUUUGUAUAUCCUAAAAUUUGAAGUUUGAUGUGUCCGACCCCUACAUAUGCAUCUAUAGUUGCAUUGCACCCCACACCAACACCGGAGUCCAUGUAACAUAGCUAAUAAUUCAUAUUUCAAUAUAUUAACUUCCUAAAUGAAAUAGACAGUAUUGAUUUAGGAAUAAGAAGGCCCAAGCCAAAAGAGAGCUAAAGCAAUAAGAAUAAACAGAAGUUUAAGUAUUAGUGUUUCUCAGCAUUCUUGUCCAGAUGGUCGAAGUGAAUGAACAAUACAAAAAUAGAUGGUUCACAUUCUGAAGCAAAUGUUGCAAUGAACAAAGUACGAAAUGAAUCUUUUUUCUUUUUCUUUUUUCAUUACUUUUGUUUUGUUUUGUUUUGUGGAUAAGUAAACAUCAAUUUGUAUUACUAACUCAAGAAUGCCCACAGGAAUGCAACCAUGUACAAAGAGAUAAAAAAAGGCUUAAAAAAACAAAAAAGCCAGCUAUAAAAUCUUCAAGAAUAAAUGCAAUGGCUAAUUUAUUGAAAUCAAAAUUUUCCAAAUAGAAUCGAGCAAAUGUAUAAUUUUUCUUCACACGCUACUUGAGCCACCAAAAAAAAGCCACUUCACAACAUACGUAAUUCAUUCAGUAAGAACAAAUGAUAAUUGAAUAACUAAUGAACUCAGAUCCACCUAAGAUGGUAAUAAUACCAAUCUGAUGAUGACAGUUAACAAAUGAUAUAGGCCAUUGAUCCAAUAGAUUAGUCAAAAGUAAGGGAGAUUCCAAACUUGGAUCUAGGUGUUUCCAGUAGUAGUAACAGAAGUGACUGGUAAAAAGAGCCAAUUUGACAUCUAGAGAGAAGGUAAAAGCUAAUGCACACAUUCCAAGCAAUUUGAAAUUUAGCCAAGGUUAUUCAGGUAUGCUAGGUGAGCAGCUGCCCCAAAAGCUUAAGAUAUUAGAAAUGUACAUCAAAGUCUCGCACCUUGCCUCAUUUGCAGCCAAGGUUUCAAAUAAUGGUUGUUGCAGGGUGUAACAAGCGUAGCGUAACUAUUAAAAUUUUCAUUUUUUGCACAACUUCAUGAAAACUUACCAAUACACAUGUUUUUAUUUCAAAUUCACAUUUGUUGAGGUUUAAAAUGUUUUGGAGAAUUUUGUAUAUUUCUUAACACGACCCAAUAUAUGGAAUACAAUUUUUACCAUGUUUAAGUCAUUAUAUGAAAAGAAUUUUGACAUAUUUUCCUUUCAACAUUUAAUGAUUUUAUGUGUCCUUAAUGAUUUAGGGGUGACCAUUGGUUCAAUAGUUAUGACUUAGCCUAAUAACCUUAAGGUUAUGAGUUCAAGUCUUGGGACCAUCACUUUGUGCAUUAUGCCAAAGGUCAGAUAUGUACUCAAUCUUUUCCCUCCCAAACACACAUUAAUGUGUACUAAUUGGGCUUCUUUUUUUUUUUCUUUUUUUUUUGUGUCAUAAAUUCCUAUUACACCGCUUUAUUGUUAUUUACUUUGUUAUUAGUAGUUACAAACUUAAAAUGUCAUGUCUUUCAAAUUUGCAGAUUGGAUAUGUUCAAUAAAUAAAUGUGAAUAUCACUGCGGUUAUUUUACUAAAAACAAACUAAAAAACAUACGAUUCAUAUCUUCAAGUUAUACACAUAAGGCAACAUACAAAUCACAAGUUACAACUACAUUUAAAAAUUUAAUUGAUAAUGUUUAGUUAAUAA